GUCCGUUUGGCGGAAGGUCAAUGUCGCCGGGAUUUCAAAGAUCCCCGACGAUGCGGACACGCAUGACAGUUCCACUUUCCAAGCCGACC
rnacentral:tRNA from 1 species